GAUCCGGCUCUGGCUACGCCAGCUUCCAACGGCAGUUGAGCAGCCAAUUAGAACGACGUCGUCGAGCGCGUGACGGACGGAAGUGUAACGACGGAUGCCCUUUAUAUAAAAGGCACGAAACUCCGUUCGAUAAUAAUUCUUCGGCACUCAGCUCUGGUACCCUCUGCAGACUCUGAAGGCAAUCGUCAUGAAGAGUGCCAUCCUUAUCCUGUUCGUCCUGGUCGCUUGGGGCGCUGUCUCCGAUGUGGAAGCCUCGCCUUAUGCUCCCGUAAAGCGCGCACUCGGGGCUGCUGCCCAAGGCUUCGCUGCUUCGUCGCAGGGGGCGCCUGGCGGUGGGCGGUUCCGUAGGAGCCGCUGCGUCCUGUCAGCUUUCCCUCUCAUCACGGUCGAGUGCUGACGGCACCCGAAUGGCGCUCUUCAAGAGGUCACCAAUACGAGUGGUUCUUAGCGCGGUUACACAGUGGUUACCGAGAAAUAAAAGCAUUGAACGAGA